GUGCUCGCUUCGGCAGCACAUAUACUAAAAUUGGAAUGAUACAGAGAUGAUUAGCAUGGCCCCUGCACAAAAAUGGCAAGGCAGCAGACCAGGCUGCUGCCACACAUUUUA